rnacentral:rRNA from 1 species
GAUAAACGCUGGCGGCGCACAUAAGACAUGCAAGUCGAACGGACUUAACUCAUUCUUUUAGAUUGAGAGCGGUUAGUGGCGGACUGGUGAGUAACACGUAAGCAACCUGCCUAUCGGAGGGGAAUAACAGUGAGAAAUCAUUGCUAAUACCGCAUAAGCUAGUAGUAUCGCAUGAUGUAGCUAGAAAAGGAGUAAUCCGCUGAUAGAUGGGCUUGCGUCUGAUUAGCUAGUUGGUGGGGCAACGGCCUACCAAGGCGACGAUCAGUAGCCGGACUGCGAGGUUGAACGGCCACAGUGGGACUGAGCUACGGCCCAGACUCCUACGGGAGGCAGCAGUCGGGAAUAUUGCGCAAUGGAGGAAACUCUGACGCAGUGACGCCGCGUAUAGGAAGAAGGUUUUCGGAUUGUAAACUAUUGUCGUGAGGGAAGAAAUUGACAGUACCUCAGGAGGAAGCUCCGGCUAACUAUGUGCCAGCCGCCGCAGUAA